AUUGAACGCUGGCGGCAGGCUUAACACAUGCAAGUCGAGCGGGGUGAUGGUGCUUGCACUAUCACUUAGCGGCGAACGGGUGAGUAAUGCCUAGGAAUCUGCCUAUUAGUGGGGGACAACAUCUCGAAAGGGAUGCUAAUACCGCAUACGUCCUACGGGAGAAAGCAGGGGAUCACUUGUGACCUUGCGCUAAUAGAUGAGCCUAAGUCGGAUUAGCUAGUUGGUGGGGUAAAGGCCUACCAAGGCGACGAUCUAUAGCGGGUCUGAGAGGAUGAUCCGCAACACUGGGACUGAGACACGGCCCAGACUCCUACGGGAGGCAGCAGUGGGGAAUAUUGGACAAUGGGGGGAACCCUGAUCCAGCCAUGCCGCGUGUGUGAAGAAGGCCUUAUGGUUGUAAAGCACUUUAAGCAAGGAGGAGGCUCUUUUGGUUAAUACCCAAGAUGAGUGGACGUUACUCGCAGAAUAAGCACCGGCUAACCCUGUGCCAGCCGCCGCCGUAA
rnacentral:rRNA from 1 species